AGUCUGUAGAUAUUCUGUAUGGAGUCACAGCCCUAGUCAUUCAGGUCAAGUACAGGCUACGUAGUCUAGUGGGAUACCAGACCCUCCUUCCUGCUAUUAAGCCAAUACAGGGCCAGGCUCUCUCUCGCUCUAAACAUCAUUUGGCUCACUGAAAGCUUGAAACGCUAUACAUUUUCAUUUGAAGUUCCAGAUAGCUGUAUGAUGUUGUUGGGGCUCUGAGAGGAGAGAGGAAACUCUGGGCUGCCCAGGGCCUGAGAGGUGAACCAGAGAAGAACCCCGCUGCCCAGGGCUUGAGAGGUGAACCAGAGAAGAACCCCACUGCCCAGGACCUGAGAGGUGAACCAGAGAAGAACCCCGCUGCCCAGGGCCUGAGAGGUGAACCAGAGAAGAACCCCUCUGCCCAGGGCUUGAGAGGUGAACCAGAGAAGAACCCCGCUGCCCAGGACCUGAGAGGUGAACCAGAGAAGAACCCCAGUGCCCAGGGCCUGAGAGGUGAACCAGAGAAGAACCCCACUGCCCAGGACCUGAGAGGUGAACCAGAGAAGAACCCCACUGCCCAGGGCCUGAGAGGUGAACCAGAGAAGAACCCCACUGCCCAGGGCCUGAGAGGUGAAACAGAGAAGAACCCCACUGCCCAGGACCUGAGAGGUGAACCAGAGAAGAACCCCACUGCCCAGGACCUGAGAGGUGAACCAGAGAAGAACCCUGCUGCCCAGGACCUGAGAGGUGAACCAGAGAAAUAGAAUGACUAAAACUGACAUUCAAAUGAACACUCUGUUAAUUCUAUUUCAAUGAUGUCAAAAACAGUGUCUACUCUGGCAGUAGAGAACAAAACUCAACCCUUCCCUUGAACCCUGGAAAGACUGACCAGCGCAGACCCUUUGGCUGGGCCUGCCAAUUAAUUAUAUAGUGACUUUAAAGCUUCCUGUUUUUCUCUCUUCAAUUAAGCCAAUCUGCCACAAUGCUGGAAACAGAGGAAAUACUCUUAAAAUAGUCUCUAAUUUCAGCACGUUCAAUUAUUUUGUACCACCCGGUCCGAAUCAGAUAGCAUCAGGUUGUGUUAAUGUAAAGAUCAACAAAGUUUGAUCACAGGGAAAAUAUUUCUGUCAUUUCUUCCUGUUUCUAGCCUGCGUAGUGUGGGAAUUUGUGAGAAGUCUGGUGCAGCUCGUCUGAGAUGGCCACUGCCCACAGCCCUAUGCCAGGGUUAGCUGGUACAUGCCUUAGCCAGGCCCAUCAUCCACCAUCAAUCUCUGACUGUUUAUUAUUACAUGUUUAGCAAAAAAGCUCGUGAUUUAUUCCCUCCUCUGUUACACUUUUCCUGUCUUCUUUUAUGAAAACAAAAUUCCAGUGAAUUCUUCCAUUAUUACCAUUAGGCAGCCAUGAUGGCUGGCACCCUCUCACUCACUGCAAACACAGUGCAGCGCCACAACAUGACUUCAGCUAAUGCUCACGGAUAUGCUGCCUGGUAUUCACAACACAUUCUGCUAUACUGUAGCUUUGUUGCCAAGUGAGUUGCUGCACAAAGCACUGACUCUCUCCCCCAUGCAGCCAGCACCUGACAAAUCGACCUUGACAGCAGACACACACUUUGUCUUCCUCUCCCCUUUCUGCUGCAACAGUUCUAAUUACAGUAAAUCUACAGGGUAGCGUUCAAGAGCAACAAGUCAACUCCAAUGUUAUCGUAAAUGCUCUGUAGCCUACUUUCCUGCUGAAUACCUGCCAGUGUUUUCCAACAUUACCCUUUUCAACUCUGAACUGAAACUCACCUCCCGGCUGCCUCACCCUCUGUUUUUCACAGGGAAACCGGAAAGGAGGAGAAAGUGAAGACUUAAAGUGUGCCAACCAGGGCAGGGCCAGUUAAAACUGACUUUAAUGGAGGAUUUAAGCUUCAGAAAGUCUGUAUUUUGACCUAAUUCACAUGUUAGUUCUGCAGUAGGGGCUGAGACAUUCUUUCAGGCUCUAUCAGAUAAAUGAUGUCUAUUGUUUUGGCCUAAUGAUAUCUAUGCUGCAGAUCUGACAGAUUGUGUGGUAAAAGUAAAUGAAAGUCAGAAGUAAAUAGUGCGAUGUGUUCAGCCACUUUACAAGUGAUGGUAGAGAUAGACAGAUAAGACAUGUACAGAUUUAGAACAGCUUCCCUUGCUCCCUCCUACUGUGUAGCACAAAAAAAAUUAAUAAUAAUUGGAAAAUAGUCCUACUUGAACGGCAAUUUCUUCCCGCAUAACUUGACAUUUUUAGUGGUUUUCAUUUUCUCUUUGAAAGCCGAAUGGGGAUAAAUAACAGGUCAUAACAGAUAGAAAUGAGAGUGUCGACAAAUGGUGAGAUGAGGUCAUAUGACUAGAUAUGUCAUAGAGACUGAUGGUAUUGGAGUGAUUAUGAGGAGGAAG
rnacentral:lncRNA from 1 species